rnacentral:rRNA from 1 species
UACGUAGGGGGCAAGCGUUGUCCGGAAUCAUUGGGCGUAAAGAGCGCGUAGGCGGUCCGGUAAGUCAGCUGUGAAAGUCAAGGGCUCAACCCUUGAAAGCCGGUUGAUACUGUCGGGCUAGAGUCCGGAAGAGGCGAGUGGAAUUCCCGGUGUAGCGGUGAAAUGCGCAGAUAUCAGGAGGAACACCAAUAGCGAAGGCAGCUCGCUGGGACGGUAUUGACGCUGAGGCGCGAAAGCGUGGGGAGCAAACAGG